AUAAGGUCAUAUAACUGACGGAACACGUGGAAUUAACCACAUGGAAGUAUGAUCAUUAAUCGCCGACCGUCUGGGCAAUCUGU
rfam:Clostridiales bacterium 42_27 Ley3_66761_scaffold_4351, whole genome shotgun sequence.